UUUACACUGGAUGCGUCGCGACGCGUUGCGAAGUGCGCUCGAGAUCGCUCUCCAUUGUUUCAAGUGACGCCGUUCACACUGAAAGCGCGGCACCUAACGACGACGCGCGGUGCCGCUGCUGAUUCUCUCGCUGAGCGUUUUUCGGCGCGACUGACCUUCGAAUUCCACGUGCUUUUUUGCGGCGGUGUCGGCUGCUUCCCGUGGGAAGUGGUUUUACAUUCUGCUUAGAUCAGAAGUCAUGUCGUUUGAAGAGCUUUUAAUAAAUGAGGUGAAAUCUAGACCAUGUCUGUAUGACAUGAGUCGUCACGAUUAUCGUGAUGUUAAUAUCAAAUCCAACAAUUGGGCGGAGAUAGGAGCAUUGCUCCAUGUUACUGGACAGCAGGCAAGAGAGAAGUGGAAGGCGUUGCGAGACAGAUUCGUCAAGAUGAAAAAUAAAAAUGAAAGUACCAUGAAGUCAGGGGCACCCGGAGGCGUUUCAACGAAUAAAUGGCAUCUAUUUGAACACAUGACUUU